rnacentral:lncRNA from 1 species
UUCAAUUAGUUUUUUGAACGCGGUGUAAUUUUCGAUUGAAUGCCCAAUGAUUCCAGCAUGGUAUUUGCACUGAGCAUUUACAUCGUACCAUUUAGAAAAAUGAGGUUGCAUCGGUUCUAAGUAGAAAGUGGACACCAUGUGUGCAUCAAAUAGGUUCUUAUAUAGCUCUUCAUAUGUCAUGGGUAUAGGUGUGAACUGUAACUUUUCUGCUUGUCUCGAGGGGCCUGAUGGUUGGUGGUUAUUAUCUUCGGCUGGCUCACAAUAAUCGACUUUGAAUAACCCUUGUUGUAUAUGCUUAUGUUAUUCACUUCAUUCUCCCUAUUUCUUGGAGCUGAUCUCUCGGUGCUUUUCUCCGCUUUUAUUUUUUCUUUUCUUAUUGCAUUUUCUAUCAUUUCAACAGACAUUACUAUGUCCGAGAAACUCUUGGU